UUGAGGCAGGACAAAAUAGUCAUUCCUGGGAAUUGGAGACUUAUUCUCAUCUCCCCCUUGGGAAUGAGUCUCUCAUUCCUCAUUCUUAAAUUGUGGUGGGCCCCACAAUUCUGAUUCCGAUUUUGAUUCCCGACUCUAUCUUGCGAAGUAAACGAUGUCAAUGAUUUUGAUUCCGAAUUCUUAUUCCCUAAUUCGGGAAGUAAACGCAACAUAGGUGGAAUUUAUUAAUUCAAUUACCAUGAGACGGGUUUAUUUACAAUUUUUAGUUUUUAUAUGGGUUUGUUCACAUUUUUUUUAACAUGAUUAUACGUUUUACCCAUAAAAUAACCGUUUCAAUUUAUACAUUGAACUAUAUAGUUCGAUUUAAUUGAAAUAAACAUUUGUCAACACAUGUACAUAUCAACCAUUAAUUAAUCUAAUUAAGUAUGCCUGAACCGUAAAUUCUAAACUCUAAAUUGGAUAACAAUUUUUAUUUUUCAAUCGAAUUAGAUAACAUGAAUACAUGAUCCCUCCUUUUGUAAUAAUAAUUUCACAAAUAAACAUUAACGUGGCUUGUGGAUAAUGUAUUUUAUCUAAUAGGUUCUAGAAUUGAUAAAUUAUUGGUUGUACAUUGGAAAUGGGAGGUAAGAAUUUAAGUGAAAUAUGAUGGCGGAUGAGGAUCAUGACCCCAUUUUUUUUUUUAUCAAUUUAUCAUGAUGCUCUAAGAUAUGUACAAAGAUUGUUGUUGUUUAUAUGCCAACUAUUUCAGUUUCUAAGUAAAGACUUUUGAAAGAAAAGAAGGUUACAAACCAAGGGACACAUAUAUUCUUACCAAAGUUUAUCGUGUUAGCAUUUAUCUGAAGUAUAAAAUAUUCAAUUAAUAUUAGUUUGUUUACAUAUUAGUUUUGUUUCAUUAAAAGAUAUAUUAAAUUAAUUAAUACAAUAGUGAACUUCCAAUUAUUUUUUUUUUUUAAAGCAUAACAAAUUAAAGCCUUUCUCCUCACCUAUGUAAGUAAGGUUUAAACUUCAAAUCUUUCAUAUCAAUUCAAGAGAUUUUAUCCAAUAUAUUAAAGUAUAUAUCCCUUUUAACAAAGAUUCAAAAGAAUAAGAUAUGAUCACAAUGAAAAUGAAAUUGAUAAACUAAGGUACCAACAGUCUGGAAAGGUUUGAUUUAUGGGAAGCAGAGACCACGCCCUUAAAGUCUUUAAUGUCCCACUUUUUCUAACUUUUCUUUUUCUCAUUUAAAAUCAUUUAAAAAUAUUGAAAGCAUAGCUUGUGGCUUUGGUUCUGAGCCAAGGGGUUUCUGGAACUCGAUCACUGAUGAUGGUGCAUGCAUGGACCACCUAUUUAUAUAUAAUUCCAAGGCGGUGACCCCAGCCAUAAACUGGAAUUAUCCGUAGCCACUACUCUAGGCUGCCGACUUGUUCAGGAAACACACAAAAAAAAAAAAAAAGGAGCAAAAUUAGCGAACAAAAUCCAUUACUCACGCUCGAAUUAAAAAAUAGUGUUAUUUUCUUCUUGAAGAUGUAAUAAUUAAUUAUAUUUAUGUGUAGGAUCUUGAUUCUUGAAUCUUCCUCCAGGCGGGCCUGACUCAUUUCAACGGAUAAACACGGAAAAGAAGCGAAAUUGAAAGGGGUAGCUUUUAUUUGUUGCGUGCACAACAUUUGUUAGUGAAGGUAUCCUUGUUAAAUUAACUAUGGUUGGAUAUUUUAACUGAACCGAAGGGUCGACUUAGCUUCUGAACUCUAUUAUCCAAAAAUAUUCAUCCCUGUAUGAAAGUUUCUUGGGUACGUGAUCGCUAUCAAAACUCUCACAGAGUUUUGUCCCCAUUUUCUUAACUAAUAUCAUGCCAAUCCUUUGACUUUUUAUUAUUUAUAUUUUCUGCAUACAUCUCUGAAUACUUCUCAGUUGAUUCCACGACAAAUUUAAUAUCAUCUCUUGUAGUCUCUGUUGUGCACAAGAUUUAUAAUUAAACUGCUUCUCUCCUGGCCUUACAUUCCAUGUUACGGAGAGCUUUUGUCAAUUGUUAAUUGGCAUUUGGCAACCCGGGGAUUCUCGUUCCACGUGACAAGUGUCAGUUCUAUGCAAUUUGCAUGCCUAAAUUCUGGGGAACGGUUUUAAAAACUUUAAAGAUUAGAUGCUUCAGGUCAUUUUCCAAGUUUCCCAUCUCAUGACUUUGUGUGAGUGUAGGUGUUUGUUAGAUGCUUAUAAAAAUUUAGUCACCAUACUAAUUUAUUGAAUAAUAUAUCUUUCUUGCAUUCCAAUUACAAGCAUUUGGAACAAUAUAUUUUGUGAAGAAAAUAAAUAAUUUACCUUAUAAUUGUUAAAGAGUCAUGCUUAGGGCAGAUGUCAGAAAAAAAAAAUUCAUUUGAAUAAAAUUAACAUAUAUCAAGACACAAACUCUAAUACACCAUUUUGUGAAUUUUUUUUCAACUUUGUUUGCGUUUUAAAUUCACCUGGACAUUUGUACAUGACAAAGACAUCUCUAAUUAUAGUCAAACUAGACGGUCGCCUGUGGUCGCCUAUACUAGGAUGGUCCCAUUGUAAUCCCCUAUAUAGUGGGAUGAGCUUUUUCUUUUGGUGUUUCCUUUAUAUACUGAAAUUACUAGAUUUUUAAUGUUACUUAUAAUAGGAAAACCUAUUUUUUAGUCUCUCUUUAAUUAAUAAUUAUCUUACAAUUAAAAAUUUUUAUACAAAUUCUAUAUUUGAUAUCCUGAAUGCUAAAGAGUUAUAGUAUUGUCUAACUGUUGAUUCAUUACUAGUUUUUCUGAUAAAAAGAUUACAUUCUUUACCUUUUUAAAAAAUAAUUAUUUAACAUUAUAAAAUCUUUUUCAUUUUUCUUUUUAAAGAAAACAAUAAUGAUUGAACCACAGAUAGUUUAUCCAAAAUGAUGCGUAUAAACUGAUGUGGCAUGAAUAGAUUACCUGAAAGUGAUAAAAUUUAUUUUUUUUCAAUUAUGUGGUCCUAUAAUGGUUUUAUGCAACCAACUCCUCAUGUCACACCAGUUUGUACACAUUUAUUUGUACAAAGUGAUUGUGGCUCUAUAAUUACUAUAAAAAAUAAGAUGUUAAUUACUAAUUAGUUGUACAAGGCAAUUGUGCCUCUAUAAUUACUAAAUGAACUAGACAUUUGAAUUAUGACUUUGUGUGAGUGCAGGUGUUUGUUUGAUGCCUAUAAAAGUUUAGGCGCCAUACUAAUUUAUUGAAUAAUAUAUCAUUUCUUGCAUUUCAGUUACAAGCAUUUGGAACAAUAUAUUUUGCGAAGAAAAUAAAUAAUUUACAUUAUAAUAGUUAAAAAAUUCAUGCUUAGAUGCAAACAUUAGUACCAAAAAAAAAUCUUUUGAACAAAAUUAAUAUAUAUCAAGACACGAACUCUACUACACUAUUUUUUUGAUUUUUUUUAUUUUUCAACUUUGUUCGCGUUUUAAAUUCACCUAGACAUUUGUACAUGGCAGAGACAUCUCUAAUUAUAGGCGAACUAGGGGUUGCCUGUGGUCGCCUAUACUAGGAUGGUCCCAUUGUAAUCCCCCAGAUAGUGGGAUGAGCUUUUUCUUUUGGUGUUUCCUUUAUAUACUCAAAUUAAUAGAUUUUUAAUGUUACUUAUAAUAGGAAAGUCUAUUUUUUAGUCUCUCUUUAAUUAAUAAUUAUCCUGCAAUUAAAAUUUUUUAUACAAAUUCUAUAUUUGAUAUCCUGAAUGUUAAAGAGUUAUAAUUAAUAGUAGAAAUAUUAUUAUUUUAUCACUAAAAUUAUUCUGACAUAUCAUGUCAAUAAUAUAAUUUGCUGAAAAGUGUAUUUUACCACCAAAACAUUUGCACCAUUAUCAAUUUACCACCCUUCCGUUAAAAAUGUUAAAAAUUACUGAUAUUUUACUGAUGUCAUAAGGGUAUCAAACAUAUUUCCUAUUGAAGCCAAAAAAUUGUGUUGCAAAUGUAAAAUAAACAAUAAAACAAAAAAAAAUCAAGGGAAAUAAAUAAAGAAUUACGAAAUUGGUAACCCUAAAAUCAGCCCCUCUCUCUCAUUAAUUUUUCUUAAUUAAAUUGUUAUUAUUUUUAACUGUGAUUAAUACUUGAAUUUCAUAAAUUACAAUAUUAAUUUUGAAGCAAAUUUUUUAUUAGUUAUUUUCUUUGUCGUUUUCUUUUUUUUUUUAUAAUAGUAAUUCUGCAUAUUGUUCAUUAUUUUUUAUUAAUUACAAUUUUCAGUUGUUCUCUAGAUAUUAUUUUUGUUCAUUGUUUCUUUCUUUUCAAAGGGUAAAAUUAUAUUUUAUUCUCUUGGGGUAAAAUCAGCUUUUAACACAUUUUGAGUUAAACAUUAACGUUUUUUUAACGGAAUGGUGGUAAAUUAAUAACAGCACAAAUGUUUAGUGGUAAAAUACUCUUUUCAGCAAACCAUGGUACUGGCAUGAUAUGUCCGAAUAACUUUGGUGGUAAAAUGUAAUAUCCCUUAAUAGUAUUGUCUAACUAUUAAUUCAUUAUUAGUUUUUCUGAGAAAAAGAUUACAUUCCUUACCUGUUUAAAAAAUAAUUAUUUAACAUCAUAAAAUCUUUUGUGUUUUUCUUUUUUUAAAAACAAUAAUGAUUGAACCACAAAGAGUUUAUCCAAAGUUUACAAACUGAUGCAUAUAAAUUGAUGUGGCAUGAAUAGAUUAGCUGAAAAGUGAUAUUUUUUUUUUCAAUUAUGUGGUCCUAUGAUGGUUUAAUGCAGCCAACUCCCCAUGUCACAUUAGUUUGUACACACUUGUUUGUAUAAGGUGAUUGUGACUCUAUAAUUAUUAUAAAGAAAUAAGAUGUUAAUUACUAAUUAUUUGUACAUGGUGAUUGUGACUCUAUAAUUAUUAUAAAGAAAUAAGAUGUUAAUUACUAAUUAUUUGUACAUGGUGAUUGUGUCUCUAUAGUUACUAAAUGAAUAAGGUAUUUGUACACACUUAUUUUUACAAGGUGAUUGUGGCUCUAUAAUUACAUUUAUUUGCUCACUUUUGAAGGAAAUUUUUUUUUUCUUGAAAUAAGAGUUAUA
rnacentral:lncRNA from 1 species